rnacentral:rRNA from 1 species
CAGCGGCAUACGGCUCAGUAACACGUAGUUAACCUAACCUUAGGAGGGAAAUAACUAUGGGAAACUGUAGCUAAUAUCCCAUAGGUGAAAUGGCCUGGAAUGGUAUUUCACCCAAAAGUUCUGAAAGGCAUGCUCUUUUAUACCGCCUAAGGAUGGGACUGCGGCCGAUUAGGUUGUUGGUAAUGUAACGGACCACCAAACCGAUAAUCGGUACGGGCCAUGUGAGUGGGAGCCCGGAGAUGGGAACUGACACAAGGUCCCAGGCCCUACGGGGCGCACCAGGCGCGAAACCUCCACAAUGCACGAAAGUGUGAUGGGGUUACCCUGAGUGCCAUCCGAUGAGGGUGGCUUUUCAUCAUCUUACCGCGUUGGUGGAAUAACGGGAGGGCAAUGCUGCUGCCAGCCGCCGCGGUAAAACCAGCUCCUCGAGUGGUCGGGAUGAUUAUUGGGCCUAAAGCGUCCGUAACCGGUCCUGUA